CUUGUGUAGGAUAGGUGGGAGACGUUGAAGCACAGUCGCUAGAUUGUGUGGAGUCACCCUUGAAAUACCACCCUGGUAUGUUUGGAGUUCUAACCUCGGCCCAUUAUCUGGGCUAGGGACAGUGUAUGGUGGGUAGUUUGACUGGGGCGGUCUCCUCCCAAAGAGUAACGGAGGAGCACGAAGGUGCGCUAAGCAUGGUCGGACAUCAUGCGGUUAGUGUAAUGGCAUAAGCGCGCUUAACUGCGAGACAGACACGUCGAGCAGGUACGAAAGUAGGUCAUAGUGAUCCGGUGGUUCUGUAUGGAAGGGCCAUCGCUCAACGGAUAAAAGGUACUCCGGGGAUAACAGGCUGAUACCGCCCAAGAGUUCAUAUCGACGGCGGUGUUUGGCACCUCGAUGUCGGCUCAUCACAUCCUGGGGCUGAAGUCGGUCCCAAGGGUAUGGCUGUUCGCCAUUUAAAGUGGUACGCGAGCUGGGUUUAGAACGUCGUGAGACAGUUCGGUCCCUAUCUGCCGUGGGCGUUUGAGAAUUGAGAGGA
rnacentral:rRNA from 1 species